CCCCCGCCUCCCUCCAUCCUUACCCCGCCUGCGAACCGGCUUUGGCUCAUUAAUUAUUCAUGAGGCGAGGCCAGCGUCCCCGGAUCGCGGCUUCCAAUUGGCCCACCCUGGAUGAAGGGCAGGCGCAGCUUUCCAGGCCGUGAUUGGUUAGGCAGCCGGGGUACGCGAGACACGUGCGGGGGCAGGUGAGGACCAUCGCCGAAGGCCCGCCCCGUCCGCCUUGUAUCACCUGAUUGGCUCUUGCUGGGGGCUCUGCAGAUCAGAGGGAGUGCCAGCAGCCAGCAGCUGCCGCCACACUUCAAAGGCCUGGUGAUCCUUGUCUGAGGAGCAGUGCCCUGAGUCGCCCCUGAGAGCCCUUCCCUCUCCAGCUGGGAGCUGACCCUGCCGAGCUGCUGGCCACCAGCUGUAACCUGUCCACGUACCCAGAGAUCCUGGGAUGGCCUGGGUGGGGUCCUGGGGUGCUAUGCUGCCUACCCUGGGUGCCAGGACCAAGAAAGGGGCCCUCUGCCUCUAGAUUUUGGAAGUUUUUGGAAGAAGCCUUCCAGCUUCACCUACCCAUGCAGGCCAUUCAGGGACACCAAAAAGGCUGUGGCCUGUUUGUGGGCAUAGACUCCACCUGAGGCUCAUCUGUCAGGCUAGACCCCGGGCUGGAGCCCUGUGCCUGUGUGACCCUCCUGAGUGCAAGACAGGUGUCACACAAAGAUGGGAAGACAGCUGCCUACAGAGCAUGGUUCCAGAGGCAAUAUGGAGGACCGUGCAUGUCUCCAGAAUACCCACCUGGUGCAUGAGAUUUCGUUUUUGUGAACGCUCUGCAGACGACUCCUCAUGUACAAAUGUGUGCAGCCUCUAAGACCGUAAGUGCUGACCACACACCUGGCAUCAGGCUAGGCCCUGGGAGGACUUCAAAGUUAAACCACACACUCCACCCUGAAGAGAUUUUCAUGCCACUGGGAGUCAGUCCAGCCAGACACCCCCACUCUACAUCACAACAUCAACUUGCAGCACCGCCUGUGGCUGGCAGGGGUCACAGCAGCAGGUAGCUGGGCCAAGCACUGUGGAGGUCGUAGGUGGGGUCACACGGGACACACCUGGGAGAGAGGAAGCCACAUGCACACCUGGAUACACUAGCCGGGCCACCUGGGAGGGGGAUGGUCUGGAUCUCGGGGUUCCUGGCUCAGAGAUAUGAUGCCCACUGCAGAUGGUCUGGGACCAGUGGGUUCCUUAUGGAGGCCCCUGAGCCCAUUCCCACCCCCACCCUUGGGCUUCCAUAGUCUAUCUGCCCCCAACUCACUGGGGACAGUGUCCAUUAUGUGUGGACGGCAAGGUCUCUUGGCAGGGCAGCUGUGAUCUCCCGCUUGCCUUGUGUCGGUCAGGCAGGUGCCCUUAGUGGACACAAGGUCACGCUCAGAGCAGGAAAGGUCCCAUGAGAGCAUCUCCUACACUGUCCAGUUGGGGAAACUGAGGCCCAGACUGGGGAAGAACUUGCUCAAGAAAGCUCACUGUCUCGCCCUCUUGGUUGGCCAGCACUGCACAUUUAAAUUCGAGACCAGGAAAUGAAGACACCAGGGGAGACAGAUGCACACUGGUCAUCAGUCAGCCCGAGAGCCAGAGGUAUUUUCUCUUGGCCUCACAGGGGAUGGUCCCCCAGGCCAGAUGGAGGUCUGGGAGGCAGCGGAGGGCUCCUCCACUGGGGGUAGAUGUGGAUGCCGCUUUUUGGCAGAGCCCUCCGGGCCUUCUCUAGAGGGGGUGCAGAGCUGCCCCAGCCCCAGCCUGCAGGCUCCUGACAGACCCCACCCGCCUGUCCUCAGAAGCAACUUUUCAGGAAUGGAAGUGGGGACAGGCACAGGUGCACCAUGGCUGGUGAGCUCACAGCAGCCCUGCUCACAGGACUGAAGUCAGAGACAGGACUGCUCUGUGACUGCCGUGAUGAGAUAGCAGCCACUAAAUAUCCAGGCCAUGUGGGUUCGCGGAAACGCAUCCGUGAAGCAGAAUCGAGAGAGAGAGAAACAAAAGUCAGUGCACACAAAUUGUUAGUUGCCGACGAGAUGAUUCAGACUCAUGGCACCCCCAUGUGUGCAGAGUAGAACUGCUUCAUAGGGUUUCUAAGGCCGUGACCUUUCAGAAGAUUGCCAGGCUUUUCUUCUGAGGCAUCUCUGGGUGGGUUUGAACCACCGACCUUUCGGUUAGUAGUCUAGUGCUUAACCAUUUGCACCACCCAGGGUGCCUGCACUCAGAUUACAAUGAUGUAAAAAUAUCUGUAAAUUCUUAAUUGCAGUUUCACCUUCUCCAGGAAGCUCUCCCUGGUUCCCCAGCCUGGAUGAGGUAUCCUCCUUCGCCCCCCGAAUAUCUCCUGUCACUGCCCCCAUCACAUCAUCCUGCAAUCUUCUAUUUAGGUCAGUCCCCUGACUGUGAAUUCCAGGGAGCCACGGUUUCUCCAGGAAUCUUGUACUCUAGGGUCUGCAAUGGGGUAAGUACUCAAUGCUUAACAACCAGAAGCGAAUUUAAGGGAAUUUAUGAGAAUUUAAGGAGUAGGUACUUCAGUGGCACUCGGUUACUAAUCAAAAGGUUGGUGGUUUGAAUCCACUCAGAGGCACGUCAGAAGAAAAGCCUGGCAACUUACUUCCGAAAGAUCACACUCACUGAAAACCCUAUGAAGCACAUCUACCCUGACACCCAUGGGUUUGCCAUGAGUUGGAGUUGAUUCCACUCGGCAGCAACUGUUCUGGUUGUUUAUGAGAAUUUAAGAAUUGAUGUCCAGUGGGUUAACUGAAGUCCUGCUUAUCUGACUCCUCCUAUAUCUCUCAGCUCAAGGAAGGCACUGACGCUGGCCCGAGGGUGCGCCUGCAUUCUUCUUCCAGGAGCUGCGCCUGGCUGUACUGCUUUGGGGUUUCUUGGUGUGGCCAUGGGUACUGAGACCCACAGGACACCACAGCUGAAGGGACCUUUGCCAGUUCCCAGUCUCAGCUCUGCCUCCCGCGUGUCCUUGGCACCUUCGUUGAACCUCUCUGAGCCACACAAUUUGGACACCAAAUGUGCAAGGCUGCUGUGGACAGAUGUGCUAGAUCACUGUGCCUGGUGCAGAGAAAGGGCAUCCCAUACUUAUCAAGCACUUGAGCACCUACUGCAUACCUGGCCAUGUGAGCUCCUGGCCCAGGAGACUCCCUGCCUUCAGAAAAUUCACAAGCCUGUGACAUCUGUCCCUGGGCCACUGUAUACUGCAGUCUAAAGCUGGACACAUGCAGCCCAUCCCAUCAGGACCCCUUGUAGCCACACACAAUCCACCCCAGCAAUUACAGGUGUCCCUCAUUGAGAAGUCCUGCUCUGAAGGCCUUCUCUUUGGAAAGAUGAGGAAAGGGGCCUACGUGGCUUCGGUUGCCCUCAGGGCUUCGUGGGAGCACCUUCCAAAGCAUGGUCUGGCCCUUUGCCUUCCUGGAAAAGUCAUACCCGGAAAGGGUAGAGGUUGGUGCUCUGCAGCCAGGAUGGCACAUACAGGAAGAGCAGGGGAGGGUGGGUACCAUGGACCGCCCUGCACAGAGGGCCAAAGCAGGCGGGCUGCAGAAGAGCGGGCACAGUGAGCCACAGGCCACCUGUACAGAGCACAGAGUGUCCCUGUCAGCCAGGUGCUGCCAGAGCUGGAGUCAGCUAGGUUGGGUGUUUACAGCAGGACACAGACCUCCUGCCCCUCAUCCUUCAGAAUGUCCGCCUCGAGGCCUGCCCAUUGCCAGCCUGGCCCCACGAGGACAGCCCAGGCCCCGGGGCAUAAACCCCAGGUGGGGAGGAGCAGGAGUGACACCUUGGGGACAGAGGUCAAAGUGCACGUUUAUUUGCUAGAACAAAGGCUAAAAGGAGCAAGUUUCUUUCAUUUUAUUUUAAGAAGGACAAAAAUUGUUAUUAAAACAUCUACAUUAUUAUCAAGAUACUAGACUUUAUGAAUAUUUAAUAUUAAAGUGUGGUAUUCUUAAAUUUUUUAAUACACAGACACCUUUAAAGGACCAUUAAAUUGAUUACUGCCCAGCUGCUGAGAAAUGCAGCCUCCCAGGCCCCCACCGCAAAGGGACACACACUAGUGGGACCUCCACUGACACAAUGCUAUGCUGUGCUGUCCUGUCCUCUCCAUCUGUCCCCUGCCUGCUGGGGUGGGCACAGGCCCAACUCAACUCUCUGGGCCUCUGAGCCACCCCUCCCAGGGGUCACAACUGAGUAAUUCCCCUCGGGUGUUCUGGUUUCCCUCCCCACACCCAGCCAUUCCAGCCUCCCCUCUCUCUUCCCAGCCUUCAGGGGAUCCUCGGGCAGCCCUGGAUUCCAAGGCCCCCAGAAGGCUGGAGAAGAAAACUCUGGACUGAGUCCUCUUGCUUCCAGUGGAGACAAGCACACAGCUUUUUCUUUCCCUGAGCACUCCCGCUCUCUCCCCACUGGGCUCUGGUGGUCUGGGAGGGCACCACACAGAGCUGGGCCAGGCAGGGAGCACUCCCACCCCCAAAUCACCUUGGCCCCAAGUUCUAGUCCUUGUCUCCUCACACCCGGCCCUCUGACAAGCCGGAAACACUCAUCGUGCCAGAGUGGCUGUAUUUCCUGGCCAAGUCCUUUAUCUUUAGCCUUCAUUGGAAGUGAUCCCUUGGAUACCACACACAUAUAUAAUAUUAUAUAGAGCGAUAUAUUUAAUACCUGUGUAUAUAUGCACCGCAGGGGCGAGAUAUAUACACACUAGAAACAAGGCUGGUGACGACAAACUGCAACACCACGGACCAGGGGAACAAGUGUCAUCCACGUUCAGGGCCAUGGCCCCCACCUUGGGUAUGGGCACUCCUCCCCCAGCCCCCAGCCACGCCACCAGCACCCAAACUCUGCAGUGCUGGCCUGCUGGGGGGAAGGGGUCAGGCAAGAGGAAAGGGUGCAUGCCAUGGUUAUAGGGAAAAGGCCAGGCGGGGGCAGCUGGAGGGACAGGGUUCCCUACCCCCUGUACCCCAUCACAUCAUCCGCACACUGCCGAUCCUUGCUCGAGGAGAAAUAAGGGGUUCCAUUCUCUCCAACUCACCCCCAGCCCAGCCUGGGUCCCUGGUUCCUUCCGGGGGUGCCCACUC